UUAUAUCAUGAAUAUUUAUAGGUUUUGUCUUCUCCAGGUUUUCUGUGUAUUAUAAAGCCGUUGAUAAGCUGAUGUUGCUGAUCAAAGUACUGUAACUUUGGAUACCCGUAAGGCCACAUCUUUAUUAACUGCAUGAAACAAUGGACGCGUCCAGAUUUGAACCCAGCUCUUACUUUUUCUUCUGAGCAAACAUUUCUCAUCCAAGUGACUUAGCACAGCAGUGGGAGUUCUGUUUUCCCAGUUACUCGUGUAAUCCACCAUGUGAACUGAUGCGUGGAAAGCACCGAAGUUAAAACAGGUCACCUAAAACAAGUGCUCUUCUCUUUUCUGCUCUCUAGUUACCAGCUAAGACAGGAGUUGUUUCAGCUUCUCGGUGCUAAGCGGCAGUGCAAAGAAGAUGAAGACAAAUGGAGACAAGAGACAGCUGCCUUCUUCAUUCAGGUUGCCUGGAAGAAACAGCUGAACCAUAGCCCUCUGAAAUCAGUUCCGUCAUGUAAAAGUCUGAAAUCUAUAAACAAAACCAGCUCAGCCAUUAAAACCAGCAAGCAGUCCAUCCUUAAGCAGAUAUAUGGACGCUCUCAGGAAGGCAAAGCCUAUCAGCCAGCAAGGCCUCCUUCGAAGCUGAAGCUUUCUGAUGUGCAGCUGGUCUCAGUAAACAACCUACAGUGUGUUAAUUUGCUGGAGAACAUGGGAAAAUCCAAGCAAUUUUCAUACAACAUGAGACCAACCACUGCUGCAAAAUCAAAAAAUCCAAGACUCAAGCACUAAACAAAACCAACUGUUUGGAAUUGAAAAAGCACCUUCCAGUACAACUGUUAUCUCGCGUAACAUAUGAGUCUUCCACAACAUAUUAAACUUGAAGACAUUUUCCAUUUUGUAUUAUCUCAGCAUUACAGGCCAAGCAGGCUUCUAAGGAGUCGGACUCAUUUUAUUUUGUGUACAAAUUAGUUUUUAAAUGCAACUGUUAAUUUAUUCACUGACAGGAUGAAAUCUGAAUUGCAUUUGGAAACAGCAAAUGAAGCAGGAAGCCCAGCACUACGACAGAGUUGCGGGGGCUCCCCAACAUUUUCUGUUGUCAAAUGCAGGAAUUUUGAACGUGUUCAAAUGCAGUUUCAAAGCGAAGGAGCACGGAACUGCACAAAAGAUGCAACAGUUGGGAAGGGCUGCUCUUCCAUUCCACCUCAAAUUUAUUAAACGUAUUUCAAAAGCUAUAAAGGAACAGAAGAGCAGCCUUCCUGCUCCUCUUCUGUACUAAAGAAACAAUUGUUUCUUAGUUGUAGCUAUGAGCUUGGAAGGAAAAGUGGGGAUGUUGACCAAAAUUACUCAGUAAUAAAAAAAUAAAAAGCAUAAAUAGCUUUUCACAGCCAAUGGAAACGGUCAGGGGGGUGUUUUCUACCCUUUAAGUUUAUUAAGGAUUUUUUCCAUAUUAAUAGCUAUUUUUAUAUGUGCGCAAAAAGAGUUUCUACAGAAAGCAAGAAAAGAUGGGACCGAUUCUAAAAGAAAACUUGAUCUUAUAAUAGCUUUGGAGCUGCCAGUGUACAGUACUUACCUUGCACAAAGUAUUUAAAAAUAUAAAUUCAGCAAAAAUAAAGUAAUGUUACUUACUUGUAAAGUA